AACUAGCUAAACCGCAGUACUC
rnacentral:misc_RNA from 1 species